UCUUAAGAAGCGUGUGUCUGGGCACACUGCAAGCACGUGGGGAACAUAACCUCUACGCCAGGUAAGUAUUGGAGCAAACCUGUAACAAGUUACAUAUUACGACGUGGCGAUUUCCCCCUUGAAAGGCGGGUGGCCAAAUAAUUCCCCUCUACCUAAGGGUAGAGCGGUAACUUAAAACCUCAAAAAAAAAAAAAAAAAAAAUUUCUUAUCGGUUCCAUACAUAUAUGAUCCCGGACUUUAUUAGCGGCCCCUUUGUUCGAUCUGAGUACUAGGCUUUACUUAAUACUUAUAUAGAGCUAAGAACAUUUAGAGUAUACAGAAAAAUAAGAAUUAAAGAUUUUGUAAACAUACAGUUGCGAAA
rnacentral:lncRNA from 1 species